GUGUUUGAAAGGUCGUGGUAGAAUAGCUGCUUUGCAUGCAGAAGGUUCCAGGUUCAAUACCUGGCUUCUCCA